rnacentral:rRNA from 1 species
AGAACGAACGCUGGCGGCGUGGAUAAGACAUGCAAGUCGAACGCGACUUAUUUUGUUAGCAAUAACAGAGUAAGUUGAGUGGCGAAAGGGUGCGUAACACGUGGGAAUUUACCAAAAAGUGGGGAAUAGCUCGGCGAAAGCCGAAUUAAUACCGCAUGUGAUCGAAAGAUCAAAGUCGGGGACCGCAAGGCCUGACGCUUUUUGAGAAGCCCGCGGCCCAUCAGCUAGUUGGCGGGGUAAAAGCCCACCAAGGCUAUGACGGGUAGCUGGUCUGAGAGGACGACCAGCCACACUGGAACUGAGACACGGUCCAGACACCUACGGGUGGCAGCAGUCGAGAAUUUUUCACAAUGGACGAAA